CUGUUCCCACACUAAAUCUAACUCCUGUUUUCAGCUGUUCAAGAGGAAAUCUCAUCCUUGGACACCUCGUGUUUGGUGCGAGUCUAGAUUUGGAUUUGUUGGGGAUUGAAAUUGAUGACAAGAGAUUGAUUCCAGGAUUGGCUGUUGCAUCUUCACGUGCUAAACCUCUAGCAGCUUGGAUGAAUGGGUUGGAAGUUUGUUCAAUUGAAGCCGAUUUGUCACGGGCUCGCUUGAUUCUUUCUGUUGGAAUUUCUGGGCGAUAUAUUUAUGCUACCUACAACAAAACUCCUGAAACAACGAGUGAA